rnacentral:rRNA from 1 species
GCUGCGGUAAUUUGACCGUGCAAAGGUAGCAUAAUCAGUAGUCUUUUAAUUGAAGGCUUGAAUGAACGGCUGGAUGAAAGAGUAACUGUCUCUUAGAUAACUUAGAAUUUGACUUUUAAGUGAAAAGGCUUAAAUAUAAUAGGGGGACGAUAAGACCCUGUAAAACUUUAUACGUAGGGUAUUUAGUCUUUAAAUUAUACUAAAUUGUUGAUAUAUAUCUUAGGUAUUUCGUUGGGGAGACGUGGAUAUAAUUUGUAACUGUCUAAUUAAUAAUAUAAUUAUCUUUAUAUUUUGAACCUUCUUUGUGGGUUAUAAGAAUAAGUUACUUCAGGGAUAACAGCGUAAUUUUCUCAUAGAGUUCUUAUCGAAGAGAUAAGUUGCGACCUCGAUGUUGAAUUAAAAUUUCAGUUAGGUGAAGCCGCUUAGCUAGUAGGUCUGUUCGACCUUUAAAAUU